ACCUACGGGACGCAGCAGUGGGGAAUAUUGGGCAAUGGAGGCAACUCUGACCCAGCAAUGCCGCGUGAAUGAAGAAGGUCUUCGGAUUGUAAAGUUCUUUAAUCAGGGACGAAAAGAAUGACGGUACCUGAGGAAUAAGCCACGGCAAACUAUGUGCCAGCAGCCGCGGUAAUACAUAGGUGGCAAGCGUUGUCCGGAAUGACUGGGCGUAAAGGGAGCGUAGGCGGUCUGUUAAGUUGGAAGUGAGAUCCCGGGGCUCAACCCCGGAACUGUUUUCAAGACUGACGGACUUGAGUGUAAGAGGG
rnacentral:rRNA from 1 species